AUGACUCUGAUCACCAUCUUCAUCUGGACACUGGUCUGCUGCUGCCUCAAAGGAACCAGAGGUCAGGUGACUGUGACUCAGCCUCCUGUAGUGACAUUUUCUCCAGGAGACCCCGUCACUCUGACCUGUACAACCAACCCUAAAGUGCACAAAUGGGAUAGCGGAAAUGAGGGUGCGUUCUGGUAUCAACAGAGACCUGGAGAAACUCCCAAACUCCUUAUAAAAUACGUAAAGACACGGUUAGAUGGGAUUCCUGCUAGAUUCAGUGGCAGUGGGUCUGAGAGUGACUUCACUCUGACCAUCAGUGGAGUCCAGGCUGAAGAUGCAGCAGUUUACUACUGUAAGAGUUACCACUAUCUCAACAGUAGAAGUAUCUUCACACAGUGA